AAGUAGUAAUAAAAAUUAAACUAAUUUAUUAUGGCGGCAUUAUAUCUAAUCAGAGGAACUUGUUUCAUAAUCGAUAACCCUCGUUAACUCCUACUUUUAUAAUUAAUUUAUAUACCGCCAUUACAAAAAUUUAUUAUAAAAUUUAUUUUUAAUAAUAUAUAAAAUCUUAGGUCAAGGUGUAAUUUAUACUAAAGUGAAAAUGAGUUACUUUAAAAAAAAAUUAAGAAUUACAAAAUAAAAUUUUUAUAUGAAAAAGGAUUUGAUUGUAAUAAAAAAACAAUAAUUUUCUAUGAAAAAGAAAAUAAAUGUGC
rnacentral:rRNA from 1 species